GUGCUCAUUUCAGCAACACAUAUACUAAAACUGGAAAAAUAAAGAGAAGAUUAGCAUGGUCGCUGCGCAAGGGCGGCACUCACAUUCAUGAAGUGGCCCGUGUUUUU